GUCGAGCGGUAGCACAGAGAGCUUGCUCUCGGGUGACGAGCGGCGGACGGGUGAGUAAUGUCUGGGAAACUGCCUGAUGGAGGGGGAUAACUACUGGAAACGGUAGCUAAUACCGCAUAAUGUCGCAAGACCAAAGUGGGGGACCUUCGGGCCUCAUGCCAUCAGAUGUGCCCAGAUGGGAUUAGCUAGUAGGUGGGGUAACGGCUCACCUAGGCGACGAUCCCUAGCUGGUCUGAGAGGAUGACCAGCCACACUGGAACUGAGACACGGUCCAGACUCCUACGGGAGGCAGCAGUGGGGAAUAUUGCACAAUGGGCGCAAGCCUGAUGCAGCCAUGCCGCGUGUGUGAAGAAGGCCUUCGGGUUGUAAAGCACUUUCAGCGGGGAGGAAGGCGUUAAGGUUAAUAACCUUGUCGAUUGACGUUACCCGCAGAAGAAGCACCGGCUAACUCCGUGCCAGCAGCCGCGGUAAUACGGAGGGUGCAAGCGUUAAUCGGAAUUACUGGGCGUAAAGCGCACGCAGGCGGUCUGUCAAGUCGGAUGUGAAAUCCCCGGGCUCAACCUGGGAACUGCAUUCGAAACUGGCAGGCUAGAGUCUUGUAGAGGGGGGUAGAAUUCCAGGUGUAGCGGUGAAAUGCGUAGAGAUCUGGAGGAAUACCGGUGGCGAAGGCGGCCCCCUGGACAAAGACUGACGCUCAGGUGCGAAAGCGUGGGGAGCAAACAGGAUUAGAUACCCUGGUAGUCCACGCCGUAAACGAUGUCGAUUUGGAGGUUGUGCCCUUGAGGCGUGGCUUCCGGAGCUAACGCGUUAAAUCGACCGCCUGGGGAGUACGGCCGCAAGGUUAAAACUCAAAUGAAUUGACGGGGGCCCGCACAAGCGGUGGAGCAUGUGGUUUAAUUCGAUGCAACGCGAAGAACCUUACCUGGUCUUGACAUCCACAGAACUUUCCAGAGAUGGAUUGGUGCCUUCGGGAACUGUGAGACAGGUGCUGCAUGGCUGUCGUCAGCUCGUGUUGUGAAAUGUUGGGUUAAGUCCCGCAACGAGCGCAACCCUUAUCCUUUGUUGCCAGCGGUUAGGCCGGGAACUCAAAGGAGACUGCCAGUGAUAAACUGGAGGAAGGUGGGGAUGACGUCAAGUCAUCAUGGCCCUUACGACCAGGGCUACACACGUGCUACAAUGGCAUAUACAAAGAGAAGCGACCUCGCGAGAGCAAGCGGACCUCAUAAAGUAUGUCGUAGUCCGGAUUGGAGUCUGCAACUCGACUCCAUGAAGUCGGAAUCGCUAGUAAUCGUAGAUCAGAAUGCUACGGUGAAUACGUUCCCGGGCCUUGUACACACCGCCCGUCACACCAUGGGAGUGGGUUGCAAAAGAAGUAGGUAGCUUAACCUUCGGGAGGGCGCU
rnacentral:rRNA from 1 species